rnacentral:rRNA from 1 species
CUGGCGGCGUGCCUAACACAUGCAAGUCGAGCGAGGAGAUUCCUUCGGGAUGAUCCUAGCGGCGGACGGGUGAGUAACACGUGGGCAACCUGCCUCAUAGAGAGGAAUAGCCUUCCGAAAGGGAGAUUAAUACCUCAUAACAUUGCAGUUUCGCAUGGAACAGCAAUUAAAGGAGUAAUCCGCUAUGAGAUGGGCCCGCGGCGCAUUAGCUAGUUGGUGAGGUAACGGCUCACCAAGGCGACGAUGCGUAGCCGACCUGAGAGGGUGAUCGGCCACAUUGGGACUGAGACACGGCCCAGACUCCUACGGGAGGCAGCAGUGGGGAAUAUUGCACAAUGGGGGAAACCCUGAUGCAAGCAACGCCGCGUGAGUGAUGACGGCCUUCGGGUUGUAAAGCUCUGUCUUCAGGGACGAUAAUGACGGUACCUGAGGAGGAAGCCACGGCUAACUACGUGCCAGCAGCGGC